UGGGGAAUAUUGCACAAUGGGCGCAAGCCUGAUGCAGCCAUGCCGCGUGUGUGAAGAAGGCCUUCGGGUUGUAAAGCACUUUCAGCGAGGAGGAAGGUGGUGAGCUUAAUACGCUCAUCAAUUGACGUUACUCGCAGAAGAAGCACCGGCUAACUCCGUGCCAGCAGCCGCGGUAAUACGGAGGGUGCAAGCGUUAAUCGGAAUUACUGGGCGUAAAGCGCACGCAGGCGGUUUGUUAAGUCAGAUGUGAAAUCCCCGGGCUCAACCUGGGAACUGCAUUUGAAACUGGCAAGCUAGAGUCUCGUAGAGGGGGGUAGAAUUCCAGGUGUAGCGGUGAAAUGCGUAGAGAUCUGGAGGAAUACCGGUGGCGAAGGCGGCCCCCCGGACGAAGACUGACGCUCAGGUGCGAAAGCGUGGGGCAGCAAACAGGAUUAGAUACCCUGGUAGUCCA
rnacentral:rRNA from 1 species